GGUUCGGCUGACGCUCAAGCCCAAGCCCAAGCUCAAGCUCUAACUGCUGGGCUCGGAGGCAGUUCCGCUGAAGCUCAGGCACAGGCUCAGGCUCUCGCUCAAGGUCUCGGAGGUGCCGGAGCCCAAGCUCAAGCUCAAGCUCAAGCAGCUGGACUACUAGGCGGAUGGGGUGGAGCUGACGCUCAAGCCCAAGCUCAAGCUCAAG